GGAAAUUCUGUGGAACUUCUAUAAAAAAAAUUUGAUGAAGCUGGUGCCAGAAGAGCCUGGAACUAAUCCCAUGGUGACUGUGCAUGGAUGGCAGCAGAGUCAAGCACAUUCUUUCCCCACACACACAAACAAUCCAGGCUCAUCCUGGUGAUUCACUCAAAGAGAUAGUACCAUCUCAUGUCAGUGAUGGAAGAUCAUAAGUAUGCUAAAACUGAUUAAACCAAACUCUGGAGAAGUGCCUCUGAUCCUAGAAGAGCAUCUGAACUGCCUGAAGGACUUUGGUUGAAUACUGCUCAUCAUGGAGUGACUUAGCUCCUCUAGCCUUGAAGGACUUGGAGCAUCUGGCUCAUGUACUCAGGAAACAGUUUCUAUAUUUCUCCCGGCCCACAAGGUUCAGUGAAACUCAAACCAAAGCUCUGGAUGUUGUAGGAAUUCCUUGGAGAAAUUGUGCACUAGUUAUGAAUCUGUGGUGCAUUGGCAGCUGUGUAAGCAAGGAAAAAAUCAGCCCUGCAAGCUUUGAAUCAAGACCAUUUUGA
rnacentral:lncRNA from 1 species